UUUCCGUAGGUGAACCUGCGGAAGGAUCAUUAG
rnacentral:rRNA from 3 species